CCUACGGGCGGCAGCAGUGGGGAAUAUUGCACAAUGGGGGAAACCCUGAUGCAGCGACGCCGCGUGAGUGAAGAAGUAUUUCGGUACGUAAAGCUCUAUCAGCAGGGAAGAAAAUGACGGUACCUGACUAAGAAGCCCCGGCUAACUACGUGCCAGCAGCCACGGUAAUACGUAGGGGGCAAGCGUUAUCCGGAUUUACUGGGUGUAAAGGGAGCGUAGACGGCAGCGCAAGUCUGGAGUGAAAUCCCAUGGCUUAACCAUGGGACUGCUUUUGAAACUGUGCAGCUAGAGUGCAGGAGAGGUAAGCGGAAUGCCUAGUGUAGCGGUGAAAUGCGUAGAUAUUAGGAGGAACACCAGUGGCGAAGGCGGCUUACUGGACUGUGACUGACGUUGAGGCUCGAAAGCGUGGGGAGCAAACAGGAUUAGAUACCCGGGUAGUC
rnacentral:rRNA from 1 species